rnacentral:misc_RNA from 1 species
CUGAGUGUACGACUCUACAACCCUUUGUGAACAUNACCUAUUGAACUGUUGCUUCGGCGGGUAGGGUCUCCGUGACCCUCCCGGCCUCCCGCCCCCGGGCGGGUCGGCGCCCGCCGGAGGAUAACCAAACUCUGAUUUAACGACGUUUCUUCUGAGUGGUACAAGCAAAUAAUCA